rnacentral:rRNA from 1 species
UGAACGCUAGCGACAGGCCUAACACAUGCAAGUCGAGGGGCAGCAUGGUAUCAGCUUGCUGAUACCGAUGGCGACCGGCGCACGGGUGAGUAACGCGUAUGUAAUCUGCCUGUAACAGAGGGAUAACCCCGGAGAAAUCCGGCCUAAUACCUCAUAAUACAUAUUAUUCGCAUGAGUUUUAUGUUAAAGAAAUUCGGUUACAGAUGAACAUGCGUUCCAUUAGCUGGUUGGCGGGGUAACGGCCCACCAAGGCGACGAUGGAUAGGGGUUCUGAGAGGAAGGUCCCCCACACUGGUACUGAGACACGGACCAGACUCCUACGGGAGGCAGCAGUGAGGAAUAUUGGUCAAUGGGCGAGAGCCUGAACCAGCCAAGUCGCGUGGAGGAAGACUGCCCUAUGGGUUGUAAACUCCUUUUACCUGGGAAUAACGGGCGCUACGUGUAGCGCUGUGCAUGUACCGGGAGAAUAAGCAUCGGCUAAUUCCGUG